AGUGAACGCUGGCGGUAGGCCUAACACAUGCAAGUCGAACGGCAGCACAGUAAGCGCUUGCUCUUACGGGUGGCGAGUGGCGGACGGGUGAGGAAUACAUCGGAAUCUACUUUUUCGUGGGUGAUAACGUAGGGAAACUUCCGCUAAUACCUCAUACGACCUACGGGUGAAAGCAGGGGAUCUUCUGACCUUGCGCGAUUGAAUGAGCCGAUGUCGGAUUAGCUAGUUGGCGGGGUAAAGGCCCACCAAGGCGACGAUCCGUAGCUGGUCUGAGAGGAUGAGCAGCGACACUGGAAUUGGGACACGGUCCAGACUCCUACGGGAGGCAGCAGUGGGGAAUGUUGGACAAUGGGCGCAAGCCUGAUCCAGCCAUACCGCGUGGGUGAAGAAGGCCUUCGGGUUGUAAAGCCCUUUUGUUGGGAAAGAAAAGCAGCAGGUUAAUACCCCGCUGUUCUGACGGUACCCAAAGAAUAAGCACCGGCUAACUUCGUG
rnacentral:rRNA from 1 species